AGACACCAUGUUGACAUUGGCCCUGGUUUAAGUCUUCCUUCUCUUCCAUUUCCUCCUCUCCCUCCUCCUCUUUAAGGCGUCAGUGGAGAGAAGAGAUCCAGAUGAGCCACACUACCUGCAGAGCGUGCAGAGAGCUCCCUGGAUGCAGCUUUCAUCAGUCAUCACCUGUGUGCAAUGGACCUCGGUGAUGCUCCUGCAUUUGACUCAGCUCAGCUCCUGGAAGUGACCCCGACUUGGGAUGGAGAGACAGAGAAACCCGUGAAGGCGAGAACAAAAGCAGAAGUCCUUGGUUUCCGUCGUGAGUCCAGGUUAGGUCGUUGUGUUUCUGUGAAUUUUUAUUACCAUGGAAUUAGUGAACGUCAUUCUCUGGACAGGUGAUGCCAAAGACAACAGAGCCCGUCCUACAGAAAGACCGCUCCCGGGAGUGUUUUAAAAUGCAUUUUUCCAGUCAUUAUCUUGAGAGAAACAAGCAGCUGGCUUUCUUCACAAAGAGAUUUAAUAGGAUGCUCGGGGAAAGGAGGGAGAAAUCGAGGCGAACAAAGGCACAGCCUUACAGGGUGAAGCGGUGCCCCCGCUGCCAGCAACAGCAUCAGAGACACCACGAUGGAUAGGAAUGAGUCCUCUAAUAAUGGAUGCGGCUUAAAACAUAGCGUUCCAAACAUUCUGGAACCCCAAACUGUACCAGCAAAAGCAAAGGUGGUCGCCACCCUCCCCUGUGAAAAGUGUGCAAGGCCAGGCUGCAGCCUUUCGGGUCCCCACGCGUGCGAUCCGUGAGAUCCACGCUCUGUCUUGCUUCCUUCUACUUUCUUUUCCAUUUUCAAGCCAUCCCCAUUGGAAUCCGCAGUUUCAGAGUUUCCACGUGAUCUCCAAGCCUACUCUGCUCACUCUCACCAGCUUUGCCAUUUCACACAAAAUCAGCCAAGCCCAUGUAAUAGAUGAUUUAUAAAGACACCGUGGAAUGUUCUGGAACGCCAAAGUGAGGGACGCUCUGCUCUGGCUUGUUCAUCAACUUUGUCUCCUAGCCUGAGAGCUUGCGUCCAUGUGCCAUUUGAUUGUUACAUUUAGGUGGAGUCUGUUGGAGGGGGGACGUCUGGUAACGAGACACAAAGAUGCCUUCUAAGCUCUACUCCGGCUAACGUAACUACGUGGCCAGCAGAAACAGUGCUGCCUUUCCCUUAAAUACAUGUAUUAGCAGAGAUGCUAGCUAAAUAAAUUCUGUUUAGUGGAAAA